UAGGGAAUCUUCGGCAAUGGACGAAAGUCUGACCGAGCAACGCCGCGUGAGUGAAGAAGGUUUUCGGAUCGUAAAACUCUGUUGUUAGAGAAGAACAAGGACGUUAGUAACUGAACGUCCCCUGACGGUAUCUAACCAGAAAGCCACGGCUAACUACGUGCCAGCAGCAGCGGUAAUACGUAGGUGGCAAGCGUUGUCCGGAUUUAUUGGGCGUAAAGCGAGCGCAGGCGGUUUCUUAAGUCUGAUGUGAAAGCCCCCGGCUCAACCGGGGAGGGUAAUUGGAAACUGGGAGACUUGAGUGCAGAAGAGGAGAGUGGAAUUCCAUGUGUAGCGGUGAAAUGCGUAGAUAUAUGGAGGAACACCAGUGGCGAAGGCGGCUCUCUGGUCUGUAACUGACGCUGAGGCUCGAAAGCGUGGGGAGCAAACAGG
rnacentral:rRNA from 1 species